rnacentral:sRNA from 1 species
CAGAGCAUAGCCUGGCAUCCUGAAAUAGAAGUGAUGAAGUGUCCUCUUGCUAGCACCAAUAAAAGAUUUCUAAUUAACACAAUUAAAAACACAUUGCCCU